rnacentral:lncRNA from 1 species
GAAAUUAACUUUUCGUACCUCACGUUAUCGAUGCUAACCAAGACAUCAAUCCACUUCUCUCGAACUGUCACAUGAUAAUUCAAUUGUAUCACCCCUUCAAGUUGAUGAUAAUUCAACGAAAACCCUAGUUUUUGAUCAUCUUGUCCGUUACUAUUACACUUUUCAAUCUCCAUAGCAAUAACCGGACAAUACAACUGAAUUUUCCAUAACCCUAAUCCAGAUAUCGCCAAAGAGUACAUCGGCGAUGGCGCUUUGAGCCCAGGAUUCGUCGCUUGUAGCUCGACCAUCCAGUUUGUGAUUGCAAGAUUCAUGGAUCGCAUCCAUUGUUCUUCGGCGUUUGACCCUAUUAGCCUCAUUAACCUUUUAGAUGUUGUUCUUGCCCACGGACAGGCAAAAUGAUUUUUGAUAGUGUUUAUACAAUCACGCCUGAUAUCUUGAGGGGCUUCGUAUAUUGAUAUAACAAAAGCAAGCGCAAGAAACAAGAAAUUAACUAUGUCUUUGAGGUCAGGGAUUGAACUCGGUUGUGGGAGAUUGAGGAAAGCAUUUGAGAGUUUUAUAGGGCUAUAGUUAAGAAUAUCUUUGAUGAUAUUGAUUAAGAGUUUGGAGAUGGUCCAAAGGGAGAUGGGUUGGUUGUAAUUUGCGAAAAUGGAGAAGGAGAUUGAAGAAGGGUGAGUUAAGGUUUUGCAUGUAAUGGAGAGAUGAAGAGAAGGUUGAGAUGAAGUUGGUGAAGAACAAAUGCAUAUAGAUGUUGUGUUUGUUGGCCAUUGGGAUUGUGGUGGUAGGUUGUGAAUCCAACCCCAAAUAUCAGGAAAUGAAGAAGUAGCCAUUUUGAGAGAGUUAGAGGGCUAAAGAGUGUUAAAACUUACAAGAACAUACACCACAAUCUACACUUGAUCUUUAAGGAAACACUAAUACAUGU